rnacentral:rRNA from 1 species
UACGUAGGGGGCUAGCGUUGUCCGGAAUCAUUGGGCGUAAAGCGCGUGUAGGCGGUUCGGUAAGUCCGCUGUGAAAGUCGGGGGCUCAACCCUCGGAUGCCGGUGGAUACUGUCGGACUAGAGUACGGAAGAGGCGAGUGGAAUUCCUGGUGUAGCGGUGAAAUGCGCAGAUAUCAGGAGGAACACCGAUGGCGAAGGCAGCUCUCUGGGACGGUACUGACGCUGAGACGCGAAAGCGUGGGGAGCGAACAGG